GAGAGUAUAGCUCAGUGGUAGAGUGUGUGCUUAGCAUGCACAAGGUCCUGGGUUCAAUUCCCAAUACUUUCA
rnacentral:tRNA from 1 species